ACUCAGUACUCGGUGUAGAGUC
rnacentral:miRNA from 8 species